rnacentral:rRNA from 1 species
UACAGAGGCCACAAGCGUUAGGCGGAAUCACUGGGCUUAAAGCGUGUGUAGGCGGAUAUCUAAGUACCUUGUGAAAUCCCACGGCUCAACCGUGGAACUGCUUGGUAUACUGGAUGUCUUGAGGUAUUCAGGGGCGACCGGAACAAAUGGUGGAGCGGUGAAAUGCGUAGAUAUCGGGAGGAACACCGGUGGCGAAGGCGGUUCUCUGGGCCUUAACUGACGCUGAGGAGCGAAAGCGUGGGGAGCGAACAGG